AUGAUGAUGAUGAUGAUGAUGAUGUUGACGAUGAUGAUGAUGGUGAUGUUGAUGAUCAACACUGAUAUGCACAUGUAUGUUGAGACAUGAAGCCACAUGAAUUAGAACCGGUUUGUUCUUGUUUGUGUCACACAGAAAAUCAGAUCUGCAUCUUUUGGGAAUGUAAACAUUGUCCUAAAAGGAAUGACGUCACAGCAGGUUGAGCUCCGGUGCACUCAUGUGGUUCUGACUGCCCCGAGUUGUGGUGUGAUGUUGAUGAUUCUGAGUACAGACAAACCCCAUGGGAAUUGAGCUUGUCAUCAAUGCUAAAUACAUUUACAGUGUAAUUUUAGUCCUAAUGAUUAGUCUGAGGUUCACACACAGCAUUGGAUUUCAUUACCGUAGCCUCUCGCUGUUCUGUAACACAAUGCUGUUAGCAUGGACAUCCUCAUGAACAUUCAGAGAUCAGAAACCAUUUCAGAUUCAUGAACAUUAAACCACAUUCUAUAAUUCAGAUCAAUCACACUUUCAGGGCUAACUGAAGGACAACCUGAAAUAAAAACAGACCUUUUAACUGUUUAGCAUGUCUUUGGUCAGCCUGUAAACCUCCUCUGUAUUGAUCACUUUAAUUACAGAAUUCUCCUUUGCCUGUAUUUUCUGAGCACUAAGCAAUAAACAACCUUUCACAUCAAGCUGUGUUUCACGCUACACAACGUCAGCUAUCGUCUCACAAGACAAUGCAGAGUCAGCGUGAGCUAGCGGAUCGCAGCUGCGUCUCUUAACACUUUUACUAGCCAGUCAAAUCCUGAUAAAACUUUAUUCCAGAAGUAUUAGAGCAUUCAGGGGUGUCAAGGAAGUGCAGCAGUGUGGAAAUGACAAACAAUUGGUGUGGAUGUUCAUGAGAAGAGAAACGUUUGAAUUCAUCUACAUUAUUUAUCUACAAAGUUCUACUGUCUGUAUUGUAUGUGUGGCAAAGAAAGUUAUCUUCUUCUUUUUCUUCUUCUUUUCCUAUCCAGACAUCCUCCUUCACUCAGAGACCGCCCACAUAUUGUCUGUAACAACUUUCUUUCUUCUAAACAACUUUCACAUGUAAAAAUGCUUCAGUGAUCUCCAUCUAAACCAUCAGCUCAGACCAGACAUGGGGUUCUGCAGAAGUUCUGCUUCACAUCCAUCUGACUGUGGAAACUUGUUUAAUCGCUACCACGAAGUGACCGAAACUAUAAUAAACCUGAGCAGUGGCACGUAAUGAAAGCCUGUCAUGAAGAUUUGAAGAAUAUUAAUGAGAACAUUUAGUUCCACUUCAGUGUGUAUGCUUCUGAUUAAACCACAUCAUUUAACCUCAGAGCUACAAUUACAGCAAAGUUUAAUAUUAUAUUACUAUAACAUUUUAUGUUUCAGAUGAUGAUGAUGAUGAUGAUGAUGAGGAGGAGGAGGAAUUGUGUGCAACGAUCUUAAAUCUAGAACAAGACCUGAGAUUUUUAUUCCAUAUUAGAAGAAUUCAACGGCUUUUACUGGUGCAACUAGCAAAUCUAGCCAGUUAGCGUAGACAUAGCAUCAAGUCUAGACAUUAAAAUUAAGAUUUAAGAUCCAUUCAUCGUUAUAUUUCGUGUUGUGUUUGUUUCCCUACUUGUUAUGUUCUUAUUUGGUACCUUUUUCUUUUCCUUUUUUUUUUUGUUUCUCAGGUCCAGAUUGUUUGUGUAUGCUGUGGUGAACAUCUCUCUUCUAAUGAACAUCCCUGGGGAAAUUUUUAAAGUUUAUUCUUCCAUCUCUGGAUGGUGCAUGACGAUACCACAGCUUCUGAUCGGAUCUCAGCAUGUCUGGCAGACAUAUCAUCGUGGAUGACCGCUCAUCAGUUGAAGCUAAAUCCUAGAACCGCUGAUCAUCCCAGGUGAUUCAUCCCCAGCUCAUGAGCUUGCAUUGAUCUGAUCUCCACCUUCAGCCACAGCUCACAACCUCGGGGUAACCAUGGACAUGCAACUGUCCUUUUCCUCUCAUGUUGCUAAUGUCACUCACUCAUGUCGGUUUCUUCUCUACAACAUUAGACGGAUCUGGACGUUUCAUAUGUGCUGCAGCUCUGUCAGGUUUCCCUAUGAACGCAAUUCAUUCACUGCAUAUGGUCUAAAAUGCAGCUUCAUGACUUGUCUUCAACCUGCCUAAGUUCACGCAUACCACCACACUGCUGCGCUCCUCUACUGGCUUCCAGUAAAAUGGACCAUACAACUAGACUCUUUUCUGUUCUGGCACUGAGGUGCUGGAAUGAACUUCCACUAGUGGUCCAGACAGCUGAGUCACUGGAUGUCUUCAAAUGACGGUUGAAGACCUACUUAUUCAUGAAAUACUUGAACUCGCACUUUGUAUGUGUUUGUGGGUUUUUUGUUUUGAUUUUUAUAAAAUAAGUUGUUUUAAAAAGUUUUAGACUCAUGCUAACCGAGUGAACCAGAGUUAAUAUUCAAUGAUGGACACUUAAGCACUUUUGUAUGUUGCUCUGGAUAAGAGAGUCUGUCACAUGUUGUAAAUGAGUUGUGCUGUGAUGUUUGGGGGGAAACUCUAUUAGUAAUGAAGACCAAGUUUAUUUUAAAGCUCACUCGCACUUUUUUUUUUACACACAAUCCAUCAUUUUAAUUGUUGUGAGGCCAUGACAUGGACAUAAUGAUUGGUCAGCAAGGUGGCAGCAGCUCAUUAACACUUCAUUGACCCUUAACACUUUUUCACUCUUUACCUAAGUUGUAGUCAGUUCCUGACCUCUGGGCCUCGCUCUGUUUCUGCAGCUCAAACCUCCAGCUUUAAAAAAAACUUUAGCUGAGGUUUCAUUGUCCUCACAUACAUAUACUGACAAAUCCCAUCAGCCGUGUACCACGUGCACUCAAGACAUGGAGUCACGUUAACCACACACAAUAAAAACAAAACUCUAUAAA